GGCGAUGUGAAAGCAGAGGUCCUACAAUCUCAUCUUUAACGGCGUAAAACAGUAAAUUAUCGACUCGUUCUGUAGCACCUUCACUUUGUGAACUGCAGAAGGGUAUAUGAUAAUCCGGAUUGACAGCGGAUGGGUUUUAAUAACGCUUAUAGACGGUGCCGAAGUCUCGCUCGUGACGAUCUUUGCAAGUGCGUCAAUGAAGAAAAACCACAUGUGUAAGAGUCGUAUGAAGCAGCAUCAUAAUUAUUCAGCAACAUCCAGUACUGGCUGAAAUUCCUGCCCUUCUCAUCGCGGGAGGAUUCAUUGUGCACCAACGGCCCUGAGACUGUAGCUAAAAGACCAGCUUCAUUCAACCUCCUGGUAUCUGAACGUGUAGAAAGGACCUUUUAUAAUAGUUUUCUUUACUAUUGAUUAGUAAGCAAUCAGCAUUAUUCUUUACAUCCUAUUGUGAACCUUUAUUUCAUUAUUAUUUGCGCAGGCCUACGCUUUUUUGAUGUAUGUUUUUGUUUCAUUUAAAUAAUAUUGUUAUUUGAGGAUUAAUAUAUCCUAUUUGAGUAAACACCUACAAUUUA